rnacentral:rRNA from 1 species
UACGUAGGGUCCGAGCGUUGUCCGGAGUUACUGGGCGUAAAGCGCGCGCAGGCGGCGGUGCUGGCCCGGCGUGAAAGCCCCCCGGCUCAACCGGGGGAGGGUCGUCGGGGACCGCACCGCUUGAGGGCGGUAGGGGCUGGUGGAAUGCCUGGUGUAGUGGUGAAAUGCGUAGAGAUCAGGCGGAACACCCGUGGCGAAGGCGGCCAGCUGGGCCGUCCCUGACGCUGAGGCGCGAAGGCGUGGGGAGCGAACGGGG